rnacentral:lncRNA from 1 species
GAGGCCUGGGCUGAGGGAGGAGGGAGCCCGCCGUAUUCGGCUGGGUCUGUUUUUUCCUUUCUGCUCUCAGGAGAAGAAGCACGUUUGCCAUGGGUUUUGUUCAGUGAACAGCCUGCACAACGGUGACCCACAGCCCUGACCGGGGCGGGAAGAAAGAUGGAUCCUAAAGGCUGUAGAAGAUGAAGGCUCACAAGAAACUGAGAUAAGAGAAGAGUCCAGGCUAAGUGGUUGCUCUGCUUCCUACUGUGGUUGCAAGUUCUUCCAAUCACCGUUACUUCUGUCUUGUUGCUUUGCCAUCUCCUGGGAGUGACUGUGCCCUCAUCCAUAUCGUCGAAGCCAGGGCAAACCACAUGGACAAUCAGCCCCUUGGAAGGGGAAAGAGGAGGGCCGACUAUUAAGCAACUGGAAAGUGGAUGUGAUGGCGGGAGCUGAAGCAGCCAUCUGACAUCACAGGAUGGAAGCUAUGUUUCCAGAAAAGCAGAGCAAAUAAGAGGAAACUGGGUCUCCAGCAUCAAGGAGUUACAUACCAACUCUGGAAAACCGAUGCUCAAACUUCUAUCAGGAAAAUUAACUUCCCAUUCUCAUGUCUCUUUUUUUCAGCAGCCUCAAUUGUAUCUUUUUUCUUUCUUUCUUUCUUUUCAGGGCUGUACCUGCAGCAUAUGGAAGUUCCAAGGCUAGGAGUCGAAUGGGAGCUUCAACUGCCAGCCUCAGCCAUAGCCACAGCAAUGCCAGAUCCUAGACAAGUCUGAGAUGUACACUGCAGCACACGGCAAUGCUGAAUCCUUAACCCACUGCCUGGGGCCAGGGUUCAAACCAGCAUCCUCAUGGAUACUAGUCAGAUUCAUUACUGCUGAGCCAUAACAGGAAUUCCUCAACUGUAUCUUAACUAAUAAAUCCCUAUUUGCAAUUGAGUCUGUGGCCCUUGGCUUAAUUGGAAUUGAAGUAUAAAGGAAAAACAAUUUAUAAUUUGCAAGUUAUUUUUCCUCAUAAACGGGACCUAUGUGGCCAGCAUCAAAUGGCAAAGCAAAUUGCACUGACAACUGAGAGGAGGCAUAAUUGUCAUUAUAGUUAAGGCAGUAUUGGAAGACUCUGGCCAUAUCUCUCAGGCUCUGUUUGUAGGUGGUGCAGUUUUCUGGCUGUGGAUGGUUUGUCUACGUGACUCCUGAGGGGCUGCUAUUGCCACAGCAACAUGUCUGGGGUCCACAGGCCACACUCCCUUCUCUUCUUCAUCUUUGAAGGCCACACUUAAGCAGGCAGCCCUCCCACGUUUUCUCGGCACUGACCUCUGAGUUGAAGAGAAGUAGAAACUUCUCGGUUGGUAUUGUUCUGACUCCUAGGGGUCCAAGAGAGGCUCCCUGGUACUGAGCAUGAAACAAUUGGGGAUCCUCACAGUUUCAAUCUGAUCAGAACCCGCUGUAGUAGAGGAGGGUAAAGGUCAGUUAUGAAAAUGAUCUAUGAUAAAAAAAGAACCUACUAAUUCCCCAGAGGCAGGUGCCAAAAAUGACAUGUUAUUGUGUUCUUUAGAAUGAUGAAGGAGAGUAUUGAAUGAGAUUUGGGUAAUAAUAAUGCCAAACUGUUUAGCUUGCCUGUGACAGAGCUCCCCAAACCAGUACUAUUUGGGGAAAUAGCAGGAGAACAGAAAAAACAAUUAAUGAGCACUUGAUGUGCCAUAAAUGUUAUGUAUGUUUUCUCAUGUAAUUAUCUCAAAAAUCCUAUGAGAUAGUAUAACUGCUUUUUUUUUUUAAUUUUCUUAAAGCAGACAUGCUAAGAAAAGUUAAUGUGACAAAGAUCACACAGGAAGUAAAAAGCCUGGAUUUGGACACUCGAGUGACUGAUCUACAUUCCAUAUCAUGCAGUCUCAUGGAUGUGCUAAGGCUGGCCUGAUCAGAAGAAGGAGGCAUGGACAAAACUGCAGAGAAUAGAGGUAUCUGGGUGAGGAUGGCAGCCAGUAAUAGAUUCAGGAAAACAAGAAAAGAAAGUGGGAGAGAGACAUGUUGAAAAGACUGUACACCUGCAUGAGAUCAUCUUAAGGCCCCUACACGGUACAGAUCAAGAUGCAUGCAACUCUCUGGUCCCUGGGGAAGAAGGGAUUCUGGAAGAGCAAGGUGGUAGAUACACAUGGGGAGGGACUACCCGGCAGCAAGAUGAGAUAAAUCUGAAAAGAUAAAUUUUACUACGCUCUUUACAUUGAAGGAUAUUGCUGAUUAAUUGAUGGGUAUGAUUUGGAGUAGAGAAGGAAUUACAAAUUAAUACUUUGCCAGACAGAGGCGUUACCUUUUCUGCUUAUUUAAAUAAAUAUGCUUU